UAAAGGCGUGUCUCCGGGUCAUGCAUAUAAUAGCGCGUCGAGGAGCGGCAGGCUUCGGCUUUCCGCUUCUCUUCAUCUCCUCAGUCCGCACCAGCAAACACACCGGCUGCCGCGGGCUCCCCACCAUGGCCGAGCGCUCCCAACAACCACAGCUGUUCAACCAGCCUAAGAUCGAGCUUCAUGUUCAUCUUGAUGGCGCCAUCAGGGUGGAGACCAUUUUUGAUGUUGCAAAGAGACGAGGCAUCGAUCUGCAUGCAAACUCAUCCGAGGAGCUGAAGGAGAAGAUCAUCCUUCGCGAGCCUGCGACUCUCACGGGAUUCUUGGAAAAAUUCAAUGAGUACAUGCACGUGAUAGCUGGUGACAGGGAAGCCAUAAAGAGGAUCGCCUAUGAGUUCAUAGAGGAUAAAGCCAAGGAAGGAGUCAUUUACGUUGAAGUCAGAUACAGCCCACAUUUACUAGCCAACUGUAAUGUGGAACCCAUUCCUUGGAACCAGAAAAAAGGAGACUUGAGUCCAGAUGAGGUGGUGCGUUUGGUAAACGAGGGCCUCAGCGAGGGGGAGAGGGCCUUCAAUAUCAAAGCCAGGUCCAUUCUAUGCUGCAUGCGCCACAUGCCAAGCUGGUCCAUGGAUGUCGUGGAGUUGUGUAAUAGGUAUCGAAACGAAGGGGUGGUGGCCAUCGACCUGGCAGGUGACGAGUCCCUGGACUGUUGUGCCUACCCAGAACACAAGCAGGCCUACGAGGAGGCGGCUCGUUGUGGGAUACACCGCACGGUGCACGCAGGAGAGGUGGGCCCACCGUCGGCGGUGAGGGAGGCUGUGGAAGUGCUGAAAGCUGAGCGGGUGGGACACGGCUACAGAACACUGGAGGACCAAACUCUGUACAGACAACUGUUAGAUCAAAAUAUGCACUUUGAGAUGUGUCCUCUUUCCAGUAGGCUGACAGGUGCCUGGAACGCAGACUUUACCGAACACCCCAUCAUCACCUUCAGAAAAGACCAGGCCAACUACUCCCUGAACACAGACGACCCUCUGAUCUUCAACUCCGACCUGCUGCUCGAUUACAGCAUCGUGCACGAACACAUGGGAUUCACAGAAGAGGAAUUCAGACGGCUGAACAUCAACUCUGCAAAGUCUUGCUUCCUUCCAGAAGAGGAGAAAGAAGAGCUCGUCCGCAAACUGUACGAGGCGUACGGGAUGAUCCAGAGCACCGCCUUUUAACGCGCCGCUCCUCGAGAAAUGCUGUUUUUCACCUCAUGCUACUGAGCAUCAGUGGUUUGGUGGUGGGGGGGGGGGGGGGUAGGAACAUCCAAGGCUUGAUGUUUCAGCUGAAGCUUAUUUCAUUUUAUCAAAGCUCCGCGCACUUUGAGUUUACAUUGUUUUUGCUAUUAAGAGAAGCUUUAAAUGCACAAUUAUUCUUUAUUCAUGAAUAUUCGAUUUAUCAGAGUUUAACCUGUUUGUUGUUUACAUCCCUUGCAGAUAAAUCACAGAGUGAUUUAAGAGCGGAAUAAGGGAAUCAAUGUGCUUUUUGCUCUCCGUGUGAAACAACCGGGGGCCAGAUGCAUAAAACAUUCAUGAGGAUGAAUGGAUGGAUGGAUGGAUGGUUGCUUCUCUAUGCUGGGAAAAUGAUUAGUAGUCAGGAAACGCAUGAAUAAGGCCUUAUUCCCACCUCAAACGUUAACCUGUAAAGGAUGCAAAGUCUCAUUCUCACUUAUUUUGCUUUUCUUUUGUUUCACUAAUAGGAGAAAAUAGCAAAAAGUAAAAUUCGUUCUUAAAAUAAAAACAAUAAGGUGCCAAACGUGAGGAAGAAAUAUGAUUAAAUGGAGCAGAUGACGCUGCAGAUGUAAAAGAAAAUGGUUGUUUUAUCAAAGUGGCUGCGGUGCAUCCCGCCUGCAUCGUCUGAUAAACGGUUUGUUUGAGGGGCUUUUCAAUUUUAAUCUGAGAUUAAAAACCACUGAAACAAGAGAAGCUUGAGAAGCAGAAGUUUUCUGAGGGAAAGAUGAUUCUGAGAUCAUUAUUCUUCACUCAAAAAGUUUAGUGCAGGAUGUGCAUUUUCCGGGUGACACUUCUUAUUGUCAAUCAUUCUGGUGAUGUUUACGUAAGGCCGUCCUUUCGUGCUCGUCCCCGUCUUCACUGACCGGUGGAGAGUCUGAUAUAGUGGAAAUAUUGCUAAUUUUCUUUUGGAAAGAAAGCUUGUAUGAGCGACGCAAAAAGCAACUUCUAAACAGAGCGUGAACGAGGAGAAAUGGGCUCUCGCACGUGUUUAAUAGGGGUUCCCUUUUAGGUUCGGGUACAGGGUUGUGCAUGUGCAUUUUUUUAUUAUUUUUUUUUUAAGUAGAGAGGGCGGGUCUUUUCAAAAUAAUCUCGAAAAUCCUCCAGUAUACCUUUAAUGUAGUUUUCGCCAAAACACUGAAAUGCAAAGCAGUCGCUCCCGAGUGCCCAACAGGAGGUAUGGGGUGAAUGUUGGUCCAUUAUUGUUGCAAUCAGAAAACCAGUUUUAAAAUAGAAAUUCAAUUAAAUAGAAUCCAGAAAUCAAACUGAAAAAAGAAACUGUUUUUUUAAGAGUUUUUUCCCAGAUUUUGUUUUCAUUUUUUUUUUCAGAUUUUUUCUUAAAAAUGUUUUAUUUUACAGAUUUAUAUAUAUAUAUAUUUUUCAAAUGUUCCUCUUUUCAUGUUUACAAAUUGCAUUAAUUGUGUGUCAAGAGUGUUUGCAUUGUGCUUGAAGUAAAGAAUGUUAAUUGUAAAAAGUUAUUUGAGAAUAAUGCAAUUUGAAAAAUCUGAAAAAGAAAGUUUAAAUGUUAUAGAACAUUUGAAAUAAAAUCUAAGAGGACAGCAAUGUUUUUCUCCAAACCUAUUUUUACUUCAAGUUUCAUUUCUUGUUUUUGAUUAUUUCUUAUUUAAAUUUACAAAAAUGUUUUAUUUUUCUUGCAACAAUUAUUGAACAAAACUCACUCCAUACACAGCAGUGAGAGACCAAUGAUCCAAUAAAGAUAGUAUCAACAGGGAAUCAUCUUUUGAAUUAUCGUUUUCAUCCUUUUUUUCAUUUAUUUUAUAUUUAGAUUUCAUUUUGUUUUUAUUUUCUUUAUUUACAAUCUCUUUAUUUUUUUUAUCUAUUCUGUUAACCAUUUAUGGCUUACUUGUCAGUUUCAGGUUUAUAUUCCUCUACAAACAGGUUCAACAAAUUUGCAC